rnacentral:tRNA from 1 species
GGGCCCGUGGCGCAGUUGGUAGCGCACCUGCAUGGCAUGCAGGGGGUCAGGGGUUCGAAUCCCCUCGGGUCCACCA